GCCCGCCUAGCUCAAUCGGAUAGAGCGUCAGACUCUUAAUCUGAAGGCUGCGAGUUCGACCCUCGCGGUGGGCU